rnacentral:rRNA from 1 species
AAAGGAAUAGACGGGGACCCGCACAAGCGGUGGAUGAUGUGGAUUAAUUCGAUGCAACGCGAAAAACCUUACCUACGCUUGACAUGCCAGAAACCCCGCAGAGAUGUGGGGGUGCCCGAAAGGGAAUCUGGACACAGGUGCUGCAUGGCUGUCGUCAGCUCGUGUCGUGAGAUGUUGGGUUAAGUCCCGCAACGAGCGCAACCCUUGUCCUUAGUUGCUACGCAAGGGCACUCUAAGGAGACUGCCGGUGACAAACCGGAGGAAGGUGGGGAUGACGUCAAGUCCUCAUGGCCCUUAUGUGUAGGGCUUCACACGUCAUACAAUGGUCGGUACAGAGGGUCGCCAACCCGCGAGGGGGAGCCAAUCCCAGAAAGCCGAUCGUAGUCCGGAUUGCACUCUGCAACUCGAGUGCAUGAAGUCGGAAUCGCUAGUAAUCGCGGAUCAGCAUGUCGCGGUGAAUACGUUCCCGGGUCUUGUACACACCGCCCGU